GACGUAGGGCGCGAGCGUUGUCCGGAUUUAUUGGGCGUAAAGAGCUCGUAGGUGGUUUGUCGCGUUGUUCGUGAAAACCGGGGGCUUAACCCUCGGCGUGCGGGCGAUACGGGCAGACUGGAGUACUGCAGGGGAGACUGGAAUUCCUGGUGUAGCGGUGGAAUGCGCAGAUAUCAGGAGGAACACCGGUGGCGAAGGCGGGUCUCUGGGCAGUAACUGACGCUGAGGAGCGAAAGCGUGGGGAGCGAACAGG
rnacentral:rRNA from 1 species